rnacentral:rRNA from 1 species
ACAUAUUUUAGAGCCUAAUUCAAUUUAAUUAAAAAUUAAAAUUACAUUCAAAUCCAUAUUCAAAAUUUUUAUAAUAAAACUUAUCCUCAAAUAAAUUUAUUGUAAUCCAUCUCUACUUCCACAAGCUGCACCUUGAUCUGAUUUUAAAUAUAGUAAAAUAUAUUAAUCAUAUAUUUCAAAAAAUAAUUUUUUAACGACGAUAUACAAGCAAAAUUAAAAGUUAUUUUAAUCGUGAAUUAUCGAUUACAGGACAGAUUCCCCUGAUCGGAAUAAAAAACCGCCAAAUUUUUUAAUUUUAAAGACCAUAACUUUUAUUAAUCAAGUUUAAAUUUUCUACAUCUAGAAUAAUGGGGUCUCUAAUCCCAGUCUAGAAAUCUAGAUUUCUUAACCUCAUAAACAAAAAUUGAAUUAAAUAAAAAAUAGGAUUUCACCCAAUAUUUUCUUAAAAUAAAAUUUAAAACAUUAUUAAUUAAUUAUCCAACCAAUAAAAAAUAGAAGCAUUUUUUGUUUAACCGCA